rnacentral:sRNA from 1 species
GUUCCAUUCUAAGACUUACAAUCACCAAAUAGUCAUUCAAUAUUUAUGAUCUAAUCCUCGCUUCCAUGAGCCGUAAUCUACCGCUAGGACUUUUAACAUAUGAUUUCUUAAUUACAGGUAUUUAUUUAUUUAUUUUAAAUAUACGGACGAAUAAUUUAAAUAUACGACCAAUAAAACAAUAACAUAUAAACUAUUAUAAAAAAGUUGUUAAAAAAAAAAUUUGUUAACACGUCGAACUCCUUCCCCGAAAAUCUCACCAAAGAAUUGGUUUGUUUGGAUGAUACAAACAUCUUUUCCUUCUUCAUAGUAUAACUUGUUUCGCUAUGUCGAUGUGAAAGCUUAUCUAAUUGCUCCUCGGCUUCAAAAUCUUGAUCACGAAUUCUUCUGACAUAACCUCCUGAAUUAUGGAAAGUGAUUUUAUGAUUGCUUCAUCUUCUUAUCAGCUUUCUGAUCAAGAAUUUCUCCUUAUCAGCUGCUGUGCGCUGCAGAGCCUCCAGCAUUUCAUCAACAGAAACAGUUGCAUGCCUAGACUUCAUUGAUUUCAUCUCAUCCAAUGCAGCUAGGAUGUCCAUCUCCCUUUUAGAAUCCAAGGUUCUAUUUUCCAAUGAUUUCAUAGCAUCUCCCAUCUCUUCAGCAUCCCUCUUCUGCUUAUUUUAUCAGCUUCUUUAUCUUCUGCACGCUAAUGUUCAAAAUUUCUGGUUGCACCGGAUUCGACAAUAUAAUCUGAAUUUUGUGGAUCGAUCUUCAUGAUGUAAUUGCCACAAGUAUUACAUCGAAUGCUCAUGGGAAGCAUCAUGCCAACCUUCAUCUGCUGGUUCUUGGGCCUUCAGCCUCUGGGAAGCUUGGAGGGAUCAAAGUCCGGAGGGUAAUACUUGUUCAAAACCUUCCUCUCUCCCAUCUUUCUAAAAAAGUGGAAGGAAGACCAGGUGAUGAGACGCUACCCCAAGCACGACGGCGAGGCACGGAGAUGGGCACGGUGACAGCCGGCGAGGCGAGGCUAGGCACGGCGAGAACGUGACGACGGAGAAAAUACGGUGGUAAGCGAGAAGAAACACAGAGUUCUGUAUUUAUAAC